UGAAGAAAGGGGAACAGAGCAUCUGAUAGAGAAAUCCCUAGAUUUCACAUAUUCUUUAGGGUUCUUGAAAUGAAAACAAUUCAGCGAAGCUCCUGAAACCAAAUCCAUAACCCUGAUCGCCAUUGAUCAAAUGGGCGCCUUCAAUGAUUAGCGGAAGGAGAAGUUUGGCUUCUUCAAAGUGGUGGUCGCGUCUAAAAUGGCGUCAACUUCUGUAAGCUUUCGCUUGGGUUUUCUGGUUUUGGUUCGGUGCGUGGGG
rnacentral:misc_RNA from 1 species